CCUUUGCUUUUCCCAGACCUGGGAGGAGGACCACGUUGGCACCUAAAUUGAUGCCCCGCUGGGCGGAGGAGCUUGACUGCACCCUGCCUCCCGUGUUUGGGGGGGUUGGCCGUGGGCUGCUUCUGCAGCCCUGGGCUGCGGUGGGGGUGGGGGGAAGGGAGGGAUCUUCACUGUACUACUAUGAGAGAUGAGUACUCUUCCAUGUAAUAAUUGCUUGCUGUUUUGGGGUGAUACCAACGUUUGGGCUGUGAGCGGAGGUGACCCGCGGUACAGGUAAAGAGACCUAGAGCCACGACGUUUUGGGAGGUGGAGGAUGCAGGCGAUUGCGCGCCGAGGGUGACUUCAGGGUCACCUGGAAGCAGGCCUCUGCCCCUUUGCUGGAGUUGUGUGCAUGACCACAGCGUGCAGAUCCUGCCCCGGGGGGAUGGAAAUGAAUGCUGCUUCACGGAGUGGAGCCGAGCAGUGCCCACGCAGGCGGAAGCAGGAGGCAUUGAAUGCUGUGAGAGUCACACCUCAUGGCAAACAUCUGAAUUUGUGCAUGGCCCUGACCAGGAAGGCUUUCUUGAUUGGACUAUGUCUGUAAACUUCCAUUGGCCUGUUUGUUUCAACCUCUGCCCAACAUACCAGGGGAUGAAGUUGUCCCCCACAGUGUUCUGGUGUCAGAAGUGGGACGCAGCGGAACACAGAGCUGGGAGCUUGAAGAGUCUGGAGACACAGCUGACACCUGUGGCGCCAAC